UACGGAGGGGACUAGCGUUGUUCGGAAUUACUGGGCGUAAAAGCGCACGUAGGCGGAUUUGUAAGUCAGGGGUGAAAUCCCGGGGCUCAACCUCGGAACUGCCUUUGAUACUGCAAAUCUCGAGUCCGGAAGAGGUGAGUGGAAUUCCUAGUGUAGAGGUGAAAUUCGUAGAUAUUAGGAAGAACACCAGUGGCGAAAGCGGCUUCCUGGUCCAGCAUCGACGUUCAGGCACGAAAGCGUGGGGGAGCAAACAGG
rnacentral:rRNA from 1 species